rnacentral:rRNA from 1 species
UACGGAGGGGGCUAGCGUUGCUCGGAAUCACUGGGCGUAAAGGGUGCGUAGGCGGGUCUUUAAGUCAGGGGUGAAAUCCUGGAGCUCAACUCCAGAACUGCCUUUGAUACUGAAGAUCUUGAGUUCGGGAGAGGGAUGCGGAAUUCCAGGUGUAGCGGUGAAAUGCGUAGAUAUCUGGAGGAACACCGGUGGCGAAGGCGGCAUCCUGGACCGAUAUUGACGCUGAUGCGCGAAAGCCAGGGGAGCAAACGGG